rnacentral:misc_RNA from 1 species
UUUGUUGACGGAGAAUGGCGGCAUGAUGAACACCAGCCCUCUGUAAGUGGGAAUUAUGGGGUAGUAAAUACAGUUUUCUUACCUAGUCAACCUUAUAUGAAUACUCCAGUUCUUGAUCUUGAGACAUCUGGAUCUAAUAUGGAGCUGGAUGAUGCCUUUUCACGUCCGGGAGCAAUCUCAAGGAUAUCAGAGGCUGAUUUACAGGUUUCUCGUCACCGUAUUUCUGCAUUUUUGUCCAUGCAUACCGCAUAUGAGCUGCUUCCCGAGUCAGGCAAGGUUUGAAUGCUUUACCUUUAAUUUACCAGUCAAGCAAGCAUUCCAUAUUCUUCAUGAACAGGGUGUCCCUCUAGCUCCUCUCUGGGACUUUGUAAAGGGCCAGUUUGUUGGAGUUCUUAGUGCGUUGGACUUUAUCUUGAUUCUGAGGGAGCUUGGAAAUCAUGGGUCCAAUUUGACAGAGGAAGAAUUGGAGACACAUACUAUAUCAGCUUGGAAAGAAGGAAAAUUGCAUCUUAACAGGCGAAUUGAUGGCAACAGGAGAGCAUAUUCUAGACAUCUCAUCCAUGCUGGUCCAUACGAUUCUUUGAAAGACGUUGCUUUGAAAAUUUUGCAAAACAAAGUUUCAACAAUUCCAAUUAUUCAUUCUUCUUCACGGGAUGGUUCAUUUCCACAGCUACUACAUCUUGCUUCUCUGUCAGGAAUACUAAAAUGUAUAUGCAGGCAUUUUAGGCACUCUGCUAGUUCCUUGCCUGUACUUCAACAACCGAUUUGUACAAUUCCUUUAGGUACUUGGGUUCCAAAAAUUGGGGAAUCAAAUGUACCACCAUUUGCUAUGUUACGACCAAAUGCUUCUCUUGGUGAUGCCUUAUCUUUGUUAGUUCAGG